AGGGUUUGAUCAUGGCUCAGGAUGAACGCUGGCGGCAUGCUUUACACAUGCAAGUUGAACGAAUUAAAGUUUUCGAAUUUUAGUUAAGUAGCGAACGGGUGAGUAAAACGUAAGAAUCUAUUUUUAGGGGAGGAAUAACUAAUGGAAACGUUGGCUAAUACCUUAUAAACUGAGAAGUGAAAAACUAAAAAUUGCCUAAAAGUGAGCUUGCGCCUGAUUGGCUUGUUGGUAAGAUAAUCGCUUACCAAAGCGACGAUCAGUAGUUGAUUCUAAGAGGAUAAUCAAUCCCACACCUGAGACUGAAAUACGGCCCAGACCUCUACGGAGGGCAGCAGUGAGGAAUUUUCCGCAAUGGGCGAAAGCCUGACGGAGCAAUGCCGCGUGAAGGAUGAAGGCCUAUGGGUCGUAAACUUCUUUUCUUAAGGAAGAAAUAAGACGGUAAUUAAGGAAUAAGCAUCGGCUAACUCCGUGCCAGCAGCCGCGGUAAUACGGAGGAUGCAAGCGUUAUCCGGAAUUAUUGGGCGUAAAGGGUUUGUAGGCUACUUUUUAAGUCUACUGUUAAAGAAUAAGACUUAACCUUAGAAAAGCAGUAUGAAACUAAAAGGAUAGAGUUCAGUAGGGGUAGAGGGAAUUCUCGGUGUAGUAGUGAAAUGCGUAGAUAUCGAGAGGAACACCAAUAGCGAAAGCACUCUACUAGGCUGUAACUGACGCUAAGAAACGAAAGCUAGGGGAGCCAAUGGGAUUAGAUACCCCAGUAGUCCUAGCUGUAAACGAUGGAUACUAAGUAUUGGAUAAUAAAAAAUUCAGUGCUGUAGCUAACGCGUUAAGCAUCCCGCCUGGGGAGUAUGCCCGCAAGGGUGAAACUCAAAGGAAUUGACGGGGGCCCGCACAAGCGGUGGAGCAUGUGGUUUAAUUCGAUGCAACGCGAAAAACCUUACCAGGAUUUGACAUCCCAUAUUUUUUUUCUAGAAAUAGAAAAAUUGACGUGGAGGACAGGUGGUGCAUGGCUGUCGUCAGCUCGGGUCGUGAGAUGUUGGGUUAAGUCCCGUAACGAGCGCAACCCUUGUCUUUAGUUCGAUAGUCUAAAGAAACUGGCCGAAUAAAUAAAUUCGGAGGAAGGUAAGGAUUGACGUCAAGACAGGCAAUGCCCCUUAUAUUCUGGGCGGACACCACGUGCUACAAUGGUGGAGACAAUGGGAGUGCAAACUUGUAAAAGGAAGCUAACCUCAAAAACUUGAUCGAAGUUCGGAUUGUCGACUGAAACUCGUCGACAUGAAGCUGGAAUCGCUAGUAAUCGCCGGUCAGCCACACGGCGGUGAAUACGUUCUCGGGCCUUGUACACACCGCCCGUCACGUUAGGGAAGCUGAUUACGCCCGAAGUCAUUAAUUUAACCUUUUGGAGAAAAAUGCCGAAGGCAGAGUGAGUAACUAGAACGAAGUCGUAACAAGGUAACC
rnacentral:rRNA from 1 species